GGGUGAGUUCUCAUUUCUUACAUUUUAUCUUCAACUUUCUAAAGAUGAUUUCUAACUUUCAAUUUUUCCCUCAUAGCUGGCGCAUGAUGUUACUAUCCUUAGUGAGGGCUUGGUCGGCUUCAACUGAGCCAAGUUCUCAUUGGAAGAGGAGCUGAAGGCAUUCGAUGCCCGAGUGAGGGUGGCAGAAGAAGUGAUGUAGGCUACUGAGAAAGUGAAAAAAGUGGCUGAGGAGGCUUCUAAGGCUAUGUCCAAACUCCGAGUUGUUCGGGAGAAGGUUGGAGCCUUGGUGGGCUUG
rnacentral:lncRNA from 1 species